UACCUACGGGAGGCAGCAGUGGGGAAUAUUGCACAAUGGGGGAAACCCUGAUGCAGCAACGCCGCGUGAAGGAAGACGGUUUUCGGAUUGUAAACUUCCUUUCUUAGUGAAGAAGCAAGUGACGGUAGCUAAGGAAUAAGCAUCGGCUAACUACGUGCCAGCAGCCGCGGUAAUACGUAGGAUGCGAGCGUUAUCCGGAAUUACUGGGUGUAAAGGGAGCGCAGGCGGGACUGCAAGUUGGAUGUGAAAUAACGGAGCUUAACUGCGGAGGUGGAUUCAAAAAUGUAGUUUUUGAGUUGAGUAGA
rnacentral:rRNA from 1 species